rnacentral:rRNA from 1 species
AGAGUUUGAUCCUGGCUCAGGAUGAACGCUAGCUACAGGCUUAACACAUGCAAGUCGAGGGGCAGCAUGUUGGUUGCUUGCAACCAACGAUGGCGACCGGCGCACGGGUGAGUAACGCGUAUCCAACCUACCCUUGUCCAUCGGAUAACCCGUCGAAAGGCGGCCUAACACGAUAUGCGGUUCACAGCAGGCAUCUAACGUGAACGAAAUGUAAAGGAGAAGGAUGGGGAUGCGUCUGAUUAGCUUGUUGGCGGGGUAACGGCCACAAGGCGACGAUCAGUAGGGGUUCUGAGAGGAAGGUCCCCCACAUUGGAACUGAGACACGGUCCAAACUCCUACGGGGAGCA